UUAUUCUCUCGUACUCACACUUUCACACACUCACAUGCGGCUCUUGCCUGAUCCCCUUUUCAUUUCCUUCUAUCUGCCCGCUCCAAAUCUGCUUCUGCCCGAUGAGUUCUAGCUGUUGACUCUGCUAAUCGGCUCCGCGGAUUUAAUUCCUCCGUCUUCGAUUCCUUGCUAACCUUGUUCGUCCCACCUGCAUGCACCUCUGCAGCUCGGCUCACUGGGGCCGCCACGGGUGGUACUUGAUUUGGCUCCGUGAACGCUUCCUCAAUAUCUCAGGCGGUCAACGGCGAUGGAGGUUGGGGGGGAGGGGGGCAGUGGUCGAUUAGAAGUUGGGCAUUGGAGGAGGCCCGACAGGUCAUCUUCAUGCUCGAUAGUGGCAGCCUGACUUCGGCGGCUCAUUCUUCCACAUCUUACAGUUUUAUCUCUUUGUUGUCGAAGUAAAGGAGAUCAACUUCCAAGAACAAUGGAUGUUAAGUUCCAAUCUUCAUGUGAAAACACAAAUAUUGUGAGUAUCUUUUACCCCUAGUACUGUAGUUACAUGCAAUUCCAUAAAUGCAUAUAUUUAGCAAAGAAUAAGAUUGUAAUUGAGGAUGGCAAGUUCAUAUACAAUUAGGACUGAAAAAUUGGAAGUGGAACUGACGGCCUGAUCCAAACUUAAAAGCUAUUUGAUUGUGUUGUCAUACCAUGAAUUGAAGACAUUGGUUGUACUGCCAAUUCUGUUGUUGUUGCUGACAAAAGAUUGAACUCUAAGAAUAAGAUGAUUGCAAUGAGGAUAUGAAGUUGAUGUACAAUAACCAUUGAGAAGUUGCAAAGGGAGCUUAGGACAUGAUUAAAAGCUAAUUGAUUGUGUUUUCAUACCUUCAGUUGAAGACGUAAGUUGUAGUGUCGAUUCUUUCUUGUUGUUGAGAAAAGAUUAAACUUUAAAUCAGUUCUAUAUGAUCUCUGCAUAUGGUACUUAUUGAAGAUGGUCUGCUCGCUCAAUGGAGCCGAUGGUGCAAUCUAGGAGAUUGGGGCGCUCGCUCGUGAGAAGUUUUUAGGGAAAGCCAUUGUGGAUGUGUAUAUUAAUUUGGAAUAAUAUCUACAUAAUCAAUUCAAUCUAUCAUGAUUAUUGUUUAUGGGAUUGUAAGAUUGAUUGUGAGAUUUGUGUGUUAGAAUAUGCAACGGAAGAUUGGCCGUCAUAUGAGUGCAUAGGACAUGGGAAUGAAAACAAAAGGGCGUAGGCUUUGAUAGUUUGGGAUUUUGAAUCAACGCACGUACCUUGGCUUGGGUUGUUGCUCAUGAUGCAGGUUGCUGGGCGAGCCACCUUGGAGGGGAUGUCAUGUCUUCUAGUCCUGCUGCGUGAACCACCUUGGACUGGACGGCAUGUGCCUCCUAAGUCCACGCUCGCAAUUUUGACCUCAGAGGAAGGGACUGGUAGGCAUGGUGUAGCCAAGCUAGGGUUCCUUAGCAUAGGGUUUCCUGUUAUUUUCUUUUAGUCUGUUUUUUAGUUUGGUCGUUCGUUGUGAUAGGAUAAAAUAUUCCUAGAGGGGAAAAAAGCUAGAGGGGAGGGAAGGACGCAUUGUUCUAUUACAAUGGCAAUGGCAAUGGUCGGUAAUUUUCAUGUAAAAUUUAAUCUAAUGGCAAUAAAAAAUUAUCUAUUAAAUUAA